rnacentral:rRNA from 1 species
CGCACGGGUGAGUAACACGUGAGUGACCUGCCUUUUAGACUGGAACAACUUACCGAAAGGUGAGCUAGUGCCGGAUGAGUUAUAUAAGUGCAUGUUUAUAUAGGAAAAGUUGGGGAGACCUGACGCUGAAAGAUGGACUCGCGUCCCAUUAGCUAGUUGGUAGGGUAAUGGCCUACCAAGGCGACGAUGGGUAGCCGGCCUGAGAGGGUGGCCGGCCACACUGGGACUGAGACACGGCCCAGACUCCUACGGAAGGCAGCAG